UGUGUGUAACGAGCUCAUGCCCCUGCAGACCCACACAGAAACACUUCAACACUUGGUUCAGGGAGGCAAGCAGAGACAUGCAGUGUGGGUGGGAAGAGGUCUGAGUAGGUGGGAGGAGUGUCUUCCUUUCUCAUUCAUAUGACGAAAUACCCUGACAGAGACAACUUAAGGGAGAAAGGGGCUUGUUCUGGCUUGUAGUCCCAGAGGACUAUAGUCCAUCAUAGCAUGAUAAGCAUGGCAGUAGGCUGGCUAGUCAGACUGCAGCCAUACUCAGGAAGCAGAGAUAGAUGAAUGACAGAUGACAGGUGCUCAGCUCAUUUUCUCCUUUUCACAAAUAUAAUCUGGGAUCCCAGGCUAGGGAAUGGUGGUGCCCACUGUGGGCAGGUCUUUCCAUCUCAACCUAAUCAAGGUAACCUUAAUAGGCAUGGCUGGAAGCCUGACCUCCAGGUGGCCUUGUGUUGUCAAGUUGACCAUUUAGAUUGACAAGACACUGAUGUAUUUGAUCAGACCUGACACUAUGUCAGGCAGAGAGCAUGAAGGCCAGUGCUGUUACUUAUUGGGUUUGUAGCAUUGGGCAAGUUACUCAACAUCUCUAGACCUGUUUGUUCUUCUGUAAAAUGGGGAGUAUUUAUGGGACAUGAGUAACAUUUUUGUUACAAGUAUCGAGUUAAGUAUUCAUGUGUCCACAGUAACCCUUGUAAAAGUAACUUUUAUUCAAACUGUCUUCUCUUAGCUACUCAUCGAAUUGUUCUGCUUGGAAAAACUGCCUCUGAAUUCCAAUAACUAAACUACACUGACUUUGUAACUGAAUGGAACUCAAUGGAACUUCCCAAACUCAACUGAACUCCAGUCAGAGGGAUUAAAGAUGAAGAUGCCUUUAGGGUCUGAGUCACAGACCAUGGCUGUCCUGCUCAUCAGAGAAUUCGAGGGAAGAGACUUGCUGAUAGCAAUGGGUAAGUGAGAUCCAGGAUUGUAGGCCUAGGAUGACCCGGGCUAAGGGCACGAGCUUGCUAAUUAUGCAAAAUUCAUCCAAAAUCCUGGCAGCUUUACCCGGGUCUAAAUGAUACCUCAUUUUGGUAUCACUUGAAAUGUUAGAUGAGUUAAUAUGUACACAGUUCUCAGUACAGUACUUGUUGAAUAAACAACCCAGAAACCAGAGUGGCUGUUGUGAUUGAGAGAGACUUGGGGGCCAGCUUUUCUUCUUUAGCAUCAUUCAGUAUACUAUCCUUCAACAUGUUAGUCAAACUAUAGCCCACAGAUCAAAUACAGGCCUCUGCAUGUGAGCCAAGAAUGUUUCUUUCAUUUCUAAGUGGUUGCAAGGUGAUCAAAAGAAGGCUAUUUUGUGACUUAUGCAAAUGACAGGAAAUUCAACCUUCGGUGUCCAUAAAUAACAUUCUGUUGGAACCCGGCCACACCCAUCAGCUCUGCCCUGACUAUGGCUCUUGCUGGGUCGUAAGCGCAAGAGGAAAUUGCAGUAGCAGUGAGCAGAUGGCCUGGCCAGCCAAACACCCUACUGGCCUUUACCUCAAGUAUGCAGAGUAGGCUUUAGGGAGUCCUAGGCACAGAGCAAAGAUGAGAUGUUGUUUCUCUUCACAGAUCCAGAGAGGGUUCAGCUCUCUGUCCCUCGGCAUGGGCUUUGCGUGGCUUUUGCUAAUGGGACCAUUUGUCUAAACUGUCUCCUCACCUUCCAUGGGUCAAAGCGGAGUUGUUAAUGCUUAGGAAUCAGCAUCCUGAAAGAAGAAGGCCAGCAUUUCACGUCAGCCGGAUUUUGUGUUUGAAUACAUCCACAAUGGUUGAUCUGAAGUUUACCAAUUUUCAUGCCAACUGCCUUUUUAAAAAAAAAUAAAUCCUUAUUACUUUGAACAUCGGUUCUGGUGAGGUAACCAGACCCACAGCACUUGGCCCCUGCUCCUAGCCUUGCUACUGCUCUGAUGUCUGUGCUCAAUGCACAAGGAAGUAAUGAUUAGUUGGGGGAGGGGGUAUUGAUUUAUUCUUCUGUCAGAGUCUUAGCUCAGAAUGUGUUAUUUCAAAAUAGUCACCGCACGUGAGGGAUUCGACACAGAGGGAAGCUGACACCAGAGGUAGAAACCACUAGGAACGAAGAAGACUGAGCCCUGGAGAAAGAUCUGACACAUGUAGUUUUUUUUUCGUUGUUGUUGUUGUUUUUGUUUUUAAUUUUAAUAGCCUAGUGAGUGUCACAGAGCCUACUGAUUUGUCUGUUUUAUCCAUAAUCUUCUGACUUAGCUAUUCUCUGAGCACGGCUGAAGUGAGGAACAGAGGGUAUCUAAGGUGAGUUUCUAGCCAAGGAAAAUAAUAGCUAAUGCUAAGGUGUGGGGUGACUGUCUCUGAAUCCCCUCCCUCCUCUGGGUUUGCCACGGGAUCCAUCUUUCAUCUCUGGCUUUACGUUUGGGACGAGCUGAGUCGCUCUUUCUGUGUUGAUUACACUCGGUGCCCGAGGCUAGGUCUACCGUAUUCCUCCAGUGCAUAACACGAGGCUAUCACAGAGCAAGUGUCUAACAAACGGAGCUCAGCGCACUGCACCCGGUCUAACUCACAGCUCUCUUGUCUCACAGGCAAUUUUAGGGACCCCAAGAGAGAGGUUUAUCUCCAUAAAGCAAGCCCUUCCGGGGUCCCACAAAGUCUGUAUGAAAGCCCACACAUGCCCUCUGCCUUGUGGUCCUUCAGUCUGCGUGCUAAGUUUUCCUAUUCAUCCAAGCCAGGGGAAAUCUGACCGAUAAUGGGAGAAGCACUCGCUACAAGAGGUUUAAACAAGCUGCCGAGAGCACAGAGCACAGAGCACUGCAAAAGCCCACGUUCAGCUCCGGGCAGGGCCCAGUGUGCGGGGAGUCUGAAGAGACUGGCGGCAUCUCUCUCCAAGUGACGCGUGUGAACAUUAAAGACAACAAUGACCUUCAAAACAGUUUGCAUCCCAUCUUUAACCUUCAAAUUGGCAGUCGGUUGGUCUCACACCCGUGCCCUCCUUUUUGCCCUUCUUUCUGCCUCGCCAAGUCACCAACUUCUCUUUUUUUCCAGGUUUUUUUUUUUUUUUUUUUUUUGUGGUCCGUGACUUGGUGCCGAGCCAGACAUAUCUGUGAAUUUGCAUGUUGUGGGGUCACCCCUAGGCUGGCUUCCAAGGCCCAGCAUGGUAAAGAACUUAUUUGGGGUAGAAAGCACGUUGAUCAGAAAGUGUUAUUUUUACAGUCCUUGUUUUUAUUAUUGUAACCAAAUUCCAGAAACAUACUUGGACUGAGGCUUCAGCCUGACGCACAAAGGCCUUACAGAGUUCUUCAGGCAUAGUAUAAUUUUAGCUCAGGCCAGCGGCCGCCGUUAACAAAGCAAGGAACCUUUCCACUGUGUAUUCUCUUCCCUCUCUGAGCAGAAAACAAACUUUGGGUUGUCCUGGGGUUUGUGGGUCGAUUCUUUUGCCCGGAGAACUGUAAGGCUUUGCUGCAUGAGGGAGCUAAGCUCAUGGCUAAAACAGGCAGCCCUAAACUGACAGCAUCAGGCACCAGUUGUUCCCACAGUCGCUCCCAAAUCAGGCCCAGACAGGGCUGGAAAACACAUUCUUUCUUCUUUACCUCAGUUAAUGUGUGUGUGCGCUAUUCGUGUUGACACUGGGACACAGGGGAGAAAGAACUUGAGGCUUAGAUAGCCGUCCAAGGAUUACCUCACAGUUACUGUGCCCGAUGUGCUUGUUCAUAUAUUAAAGUCUCUAAUAUCAGUACAAUCAUCAAAUUUGAUCAUACUCCAUCAUUUGAUUAGUAGCGAUUUUUUUUUAAUUUCUGUAGUAACACACAAAAUUAACGGGUGUGAGACAACCAAUGGUGCCUCAGAUUUAACACUAGGAUAUCCGAUAUUGGUGCUUGAUCUGUGCCUGCAGUUGGAAAGCCCAAAUAUACCUGUCAUAGUCUAUGAAGUUCCUAAGUUGUGGUGUUCCUAUCUGAAAGUCCACUGGUGUCACCUCUAGUUUUACUGUCCAUGUGUCUAUGCUCUCUGUGUCACACAAUUAACAUUCACUGAGCUCUCCCUGACCCUGGGCCUUAGCCUAAGUACUUUCCCUUCUCUCCUCAUUGUCCUAUAGAGAUGCUGUUAUGACCCUGUUACCCACGUCUGGUGACAUCCAGAGGGUCAGUGAGUCUGCACCAGUCCUCCUGCAUUUUUAACCAUCUGUCUUCCUGAGUCAGAUCCUGUUGCUGAGUUUUGAGCUAAUUUAAAACUCUAUCUCUCACACCCGCCAGGUGACUGACUGUGUGGAAGAAGGCUCCAGGUGACUGACUGUGUGGAAGAAGGCUCCAGGAGACAGCAUCGGACAGGAGAGAUGUGUGGCAAAGUCCUGUGCUGGAUGCUGUCCUUGUACCAUUUGGACUCUGGGAGGUGAUCAAGGAUGUUUGACUAGACUGGACGGCCCAUAGUGACAGGCAUUCAUUGUGAACAAUAUGGCCGGGGAGGGCGUACAGUAGUGAACUUUUCUGUGCAUUGAUGUUUUUCUUUGGGGCAGGAGAUUGUUCACCCUGGAGACUUGACUGAACUAGGAAUCUCAUGACGUGAAGGGAGCACUUCCUCAGACAUUACCCUGGGUCAUUAUGUUGGCAGGUUAAAGUUAUCAGAUUGGCUCUGGUGCUUGGCUAAACCUA
rnacentral:sRNA from 1 species